UGUUCGAAAGGGAAACAGCCCAGACCACCAGCUAAGGUCCCAAAAUAUAUGUUAAGUGGAAAAGGAUGUGGCGUUGCCCAGACAACUAGGAUGUUGGCUUAGAAGCAGCCAUCAUUUAAAGAGUGCGUAAUAGCUCACUAGUCGAGUGACACUGCGCCGAAAAUGUACCGGGGCUAAACAUAUUACCGAAGCUGUGGAUUGUCCUUUGGACAAUGGUAGGAGAGCGUUCUAAGGGCGUUGAAGCAUGAUCGUAAGGACAUGUGGAGCGCUUAGAAGUGAGAAUGCCGGUGUGAGUAGCGAAAGACGGGUGAGAAUCCCGUCCACCGAUUGACUAAGGUUUCCAGAGGAAGGCUCGUCCGCUCUGGGUUAGUCGGGUCCUAAGCUGAGGCCGACAGGCGUAGGCGAUGGAUAACAGGUUGAUAUUCCUGUACCACCUAUAAUCGUUUUAAUCGAUGGGGGGACGCAGUAGGAUAGGCGAAGCGUGCGAUUGGAUUGCACGUCUAAGCAGUAAGGCUGAGUAUUAGGCAAAUCCGGUACUCGUUAAGGCUGAGCUGUGAUGGGGAGAAGACAUUGUGUCUUCGAGUCGUUGAUUUCACACUGCCGAGAAAAGCCUCUAGAUAGAAAAUAGGUGCCCGUACCGCAAACCGACACAGGUAGUCAAGAUGAGAAUUCUAAGGUGAGCGAGCGAACUCUCGUUAAGGAACUCGGCAAAAUGACCCCGUAACUUCGGGAGAAGGGGUGCUCUUUAGGGUUAACGCCCAGAAGAGCCGCAGUGAAUAGGCCCAAGCGACUGUUUAUCAAAAACACAGGUCUCUGCUAAACCGUAAGGUGAUGUAUAGGGGCUGACGCCUGCCCGGUGCUGGAAGGUUAAGAGGAGUGGUUAGCUUCUGCGAAGCUACGAAUCGAAGCCCCAGUAAACGGCGGCCGUAACUAUAACGGUCCUAAGGUAGCGAAAUUCCUUGUCGGGUAAGUUCCGACCCGCACGAAAGGCGUAACGAUUUGGGCACUGUCUCAACGAGAGACUCGGUGAAAUCAUAGUACCUGUGAAGAUGCAGGUUACCCGCGACAGGACGGAAAGACCCCGUGGAGCUUUACUGUAGCCUGAUAUUGAAAUUCGGCACAGCUUGUACAGGAUAGGUAGGAGCCUUUGAAACGUGAGCGCUAGCUUACGUGGAGGCGCUGGUGGGAUACUACCCUAGCUGUGUUGGCUUUCUAACCCGCACCACUUAUCGUGGUGGGAGACAGUGUCAGGCGGGCAGUUUGACUGGGGCGGUCGCCUCCUAAAAGGUAACGGAGGCGCUCAAAGGUUCCCUCAGAAUGGUUGGAAAUCAUUCAUAGAGUGUAAAGGCAUAAGGGAGCUUGACUGCGAGACCUACAAGUCGAGCAGGGUCGAAAGACGGACUUAGUGAUCCGGUGGUUCCGCAUGGAAGGGCCAUCGCUCAACGGAUAAAAGCUACCCCGGGGAUAACAGGCUUAUCUCCCCCAAGAGUUCACAUCGACGGGGAGGUUUGGCACCUCGAUGUCGGCUCAUCGCAUCCUGGGGCUGUAGUCGGUCCCAAGGGUUGGGCUGUUCGCCCAUUAAAGCGGUACGCGAGCUGGGUUCAGAACGUCGUGAGACAGUUCGGUCCCUAUCCGUCGUGGGCGUAGGAAAUUUGAGAGGAGCUGUCCUUAGUACGAGAGGACCGGGAUGGACAUACCUCUGGUGUACCAGUUGUCGUGCCAACGGCAUAGCUGGGUAGCUAUGUGUGGACGGGAUAAGUGCUGAAAGCAUCUAAGCAUGAAGCCCCCCUCAAGAUGAGAUUUCCCAACUUCGGUUAUAAGAUCCCUCAAAGAUGAUGAGGUUAAUAGGUUCGAGGUGGAAGCAUGGUGACAUGUGGAGCUGACGAAUACUAAUCGAUCGAAGACUUAAUCAAAUU
rnacentral:rRNA from 1 species